CUCGCCGCCUCCCUCAGGGCUCGGUUAUCUCUGUGCCAGAAGAACUUCGAGUUCUAUUUGAGAGAUUUGGAGCUGUCAGGGACGUGUAUAUUCCCAAGGACUAUUACAGAGGGUCAUGGAUUCAAUGGAGCCUACACAACCUAAUGUUGCCACUACAAGACCAACCAUGAGACCUCCUCGUCCACCGCAGGUGAUAUCUUCUUCUAAUCCUAAUAAAAGA